CACGGUAGCUACAGUUAUGGGAGGCCAUGUACUAGUCUAGGAGGAUCGGUGAUUACUUAGAUUCUUGAUCCAGAUAGACCACAGUAAAAUAAAAUAUUAUUUAUUAAAUUUUUAUAUAUACUUGAUAUGUAUAAUAGCACUAAUAAAUUUUUAAACUGUGUAGGUAGAUUACAUGUAGUACGUCAUCGCAUGGUACGGUAAGGACCCAUCCUCUUAGCCCCUCCUUGACCUCGAGGGAUGGCUCAGGGCCAUCGAAGAGGUUACUAGGAGCCAAAUAAUAGGGUUUGGGCAUAGCUUCGAUCCUCUAGCAGCUCGCUGGUCUUCGAUGUUCUCCUUUCAGGCCUCGACAAUCUAGAUGUGGGGUGAUGCACUUGUCGAGAUCAUGCAGAGACUUUUUUGCCAGCGACCUCAGAGCUUCUGGGAUACCGUCUAUGAUACGAUGGUUGAGAUUCUCUGAGAUCCACAUCUGCAUGAUCAACUGAACUCGUUGUCACAGCCAUCACAGUAGAUAAGUCAAGUAGUAUUAAUAAAUUUCUUUACUUGCUUUAGAUUUUUAUAUUUAAAAACUUUACAUAGUUAGGCUUGAGUCGGAGAAAAGAGAUCUAGGGGUUAAAAGUCAAUAUUCCUAUCUGAUGGAUGGGAUGGAGGUAUAGAUACAUCUAUAUCAUCGAAUGAAACAUAUAGGAACAAUCCGUUCGAGAAUCAAAAUAGUAUAUCAAAAUAUAUCCUUCUGUACUGAUUUAGACUUAAGAUGGAAGGGAGGGAUAUCAGAGGGUCAAAAUUCAAUCUAACCAUCUGAUGGAUAGACCGAGGUGUCUAUAGCUUCAUAUCAUCGAAUGAAACGUAUAGGAAUAAUCCGUUCAAGAAUUGAAGGAGUAUAUUGAAAUAUAUCCAUCUAUAUCGGUUUAGGCUUCAAACAAAAGGGAGAGAGUAUCCAGAGGAUCAAAAUUUAACUUAACCAUCUGAUAAAGUACUGGCUGGAGGCGUUUAUAACUCCGUAUCAUCGAUUGAAAUAUGUAAAAAUAAUUCAUUCAAGAAUCAAAACAGUAUAUUAAAAUAUAUCUCUCCGUAUAGGUUUAGAC
rnacentral:lncRNA from 1 species